AUGCACAGCAAGGCCAAAGAGAUAUUCUUAUUUAGAAUGGUAGUGUGAACCGCACUGUAAAAGGACACUGAGAGUGUGUGUGGCGUGUGCAUUGCCUGACAGGAUGUAGCAGAAGAUCGGAUGGAAUCUGCUUGAAAAAUGGUCACGGAUUGUUUAUUCAGAAACAAAACAAAACAAAAUAUCCUAGGACACACAGCCAGAAGAGACAUUUGAAAUCCUCUAGAUCAGAGGUGUUAAACAUUGAGCUGCAGCCUACAUGUAUCCUACAAGGUUUCUGAGAUAUCUUCAAACUGGAGUCUCUACCUAGAACUCUCAAGAACAAUUUUUCUGGCUGAUCUCUAACAAGUUAAGUGACUACUUCAAGGUCAAAACCAGCAUUUCUGAAGGGGAACUUGAUUCCAGGUCUUCUUGACUUCAAGGCCAGCUUUCCAUCCACCACCUGUUACUAUCUCUAUGUAAAACUUAAUAAACUGAAUAGUUUAUAAGCA
rnacentral:lncRNA from 1 species